rnacentral:lncRNA from 1 species
UCAAUGGCUCUGCUCUCAUCAGCUCCUAACUCAUCAGUUAUCAUCUUAACCGUUCUGAGGUACUCAAAUGGAUCAUCUCCCGUGUUGAACUUGGGAGCAUCCAACUUCAGAUACUCUGUCAUUUUCACUUUACUUCCCUCAGCCAAGCUAGGUUGCGGUACUUGGACAACAAGGACUACUGGUUCUGGUUCUGGUGGUGGCGAAGGUGCUGAACUUGACUCUGGUUAUGUUGUACUGGGAUGAAAAGGUGUAGGUGGAUACAUGGGAUAUGGUGGGUAAAAAGGAGGAUAAGGCAUGUAAGGCAUGUAGGUAGGAUAUGGGGUAAAGCUAGAGUAAUCCGACGUACCCCCCAUCGGAUACCCUGGGCCCUGUGGAAAGGGUAGAUAAUGGGGUGGAUAACCAAACCCCGAGGCCUGAGCGCCUCCCUGAGAUUCUCCCAUACCCUCUUCCGACCUGCCCAUACCCAUGCUUUCCUCUCUUGAUUGAUCCACAUCCAUAGCCUCCCUCACUUCCUCUGAGCUUCCUCCUCUUUCUACUCCUCUUCUACUCUCGUCAAAAGACCUUCUAGGGUCCCUUGACGUACCCUCCCUGCUUGAUCUCGGAGACCUUGCCCUUGGCAACGCAGGAGGACGAGCAUCUGAGCCCUCAUUCACUGGUGGGACUCCAGUCAAUCGUGCAGAUCAACGAGUUCCUCUCAUCUUAAAUUUCUGAAAAACACAUAACAGCACACAUCAUCAUAUAAACAGCACAACGAAACACAUGCAUAACUCAUGACAUUACAGCUCAACAACAAGACAGGACGCAACAUCCUAUCCUAGUGGACAUGCUUUCCUAUUGUGCUUGACCUACUAGAACCUCUAUGAGCUCGACACUCUCUCUCUAGGUCUGACCAUAUGAACCUAGGGCUCACACCCCUUCGGUCC